rnacentral:lncRNA from 1 species
AACUUUAAUCCUAUUUUGGCGCCCACAUACCGUUCCAUUCGGGGCGAAUCAGGACGGAGAUUGUUUUGGUAGAUUUUACUUUUCACUCGUCAAUUGGUCUCUCUUGAAUACGCAAAUUCCAACACGAGGCAAGAAGAAAGAGUAUACUCCACUACUAGUCCCAAAAAAGACAAAAGAAGAAAGGAUGUAUUGCACUACUAGUCCUUCAAUUUUUAAAUUCGACUUUCAGAACUCUGAACUUUCAACGAUGUUUCAUUUUCAAUUCUGAUCUCUCAGCAAUGUUUUAUUUCAUAUCUCUUUCUUAGAAUAAAACUUAUUGGUUAUAACAAUAGGCACUAGGCAUCACAGACACGGACACGGACACGAAGUAUGGAACACGAUGUUUCAUUUUCAAUUCUGAUCUCUCAGCAAUGUUUUAUUUCAUAUCUCUUUCUUAUAAUGAAACUUAUUGGUUAUAGCAAAAGACACUAGGCAUCACAAACACGGACACGGACACAAAGUAUGAAACACGGCACGACUUGGACACGAUGACUAGACACAGCUCUAAAAAAAUUAAAACACAGACACAAAAUAGACACCACUAUUAUUAAUAUAAUAAUAUAUAUUUAUUAUAUAGAAAAUAUUAACUUUGUUAAAAUAUU